AGGAAGGGCGUUCUAGGCAGAGGGAACAGCAUGGGCUAGGAUUCUGAGGCAGAAUGAAGCGUGUGCCCUCCCAGAAGUGAAGGAAAGCAGGGGGGCUGGAGCUCCUACCACGAGAGGGAGAGUCAUGCUGUCCAAGGCUGAGGAGGUAGGCGUGGGCUGGACCAGCAGAGCUCUGGACCCACAUAAUGGAUUUUCGUUUUUAUCAAAGAACCGCAAGCGACGGUUUAAAAAAAAAACACGCAAGGCGGAGCAGGGGCCUGCAGCGUGGAGAACAGAUUGGAGGCAGCAAAAGUGGAUGAGGAGCUCUGAGGACCCAGAUCAGCCUGGAUGUAAAAUCUGAAUCAGGUCUCCUCAGGGAGGUUGUGAACCUACACCCCAUCCCGAGGGCAACACCCCAUCCCGAGGGCAACACCCCAUAACGGCAACAACUGCCGUGAUUGAGGCCGUCGCGGUGCUCACGCCAUCUCACCUCAUCCUCGCAGGACCCUCUGGGAGGAGCACUUUUGCUAUUCCCGCUUUACAGGCAUUUUCCAGGGCCCCACCCACCCCGACAACACCGAGACCACCUGUCUGUUAAAGCCUCGCAAAUCCAGCCAGAACCAUCUGAAAGAGUUUAGCAGGCAGGCAGGAAGGCCAGGCUGAAACUGAGUUAGCUGGGAUUCUGCCCGAGGCUCUCACAUCAGCUAUGCAAUGUAACCACUGCCCGGUGCAGAAGACACGCUGCCCUGGGUCUGGCCUUCUGUCACUGGCUCGUCCUCGUUGGCAUCCGGAAGGAGUGCUGUCCUGAGAUUCAGUCUCCGGUAGUUCUGCGUUGGAAGCAGGAAGAGCACAUGGACCUCCUCCCCACCCUAGCGGCUCAAACCAACCCCCUCCCCAACGUGGGCCCCCAGCCAGGUGCUUCCACAGUUUGUGAGAAGCCGCGCUCUGCCUGGUGGGCAUUGCUCUGUGGUCUGAGCACCUGGAGGCAGUCUCCACCCUGUGCCUUCCGAGGUCGUCCCCAGGCCUCGGUAUAAAAUGAGGAUGAUAACGGUACCAACCCCACGGAGCUGUCAGGAGCAUACACGCUUUAAUAUGUGUAAAGGCUUCUGCUACACAGCAGGUGUUGCAAAACAGGCUGCUGUCACCGUCAUCACCACCAGU